rnacentral:misc_RNA from 1 species
UCGAAAUCAGCUGAUGCGAGGGAAGCCAUUAGACUGACCGACUGACUCAGCAUCACUUAUUAAUUUCUUCACCGUCACUCACUGCUGCGCUUUCUUUGGUGGUGGACGCGCGCACACGCACACCACACUCUUAGCCUCCCCUGCGAAGCCUCCUGAGGGGGAAAAAACAGGUCAAAGGUCACAACUAGCCAGCCGGGAGUGGGUCAGGAUGGCACGGCUGGCUGUGGUGGUGGUGGUGGUGGUGGUGUUGGCGGCAGCAGCGGCGGGAAAGCCAGACUACGCUGUCCCACAAAUUUAUUGAAAUGUUGCAGAGUGAAGAAUCCACUUGGAAGGCCGGGCAGAACUUCAAUGAAAAUCUCCCAUGAGUUAUAUUGAGCAACUGAUGGGCGUGCAUCCAGAUUCCAAGAAACACUUGCCUCGGCCUCUGUGGCGCUCUGUGGACCCAGCCAGCCUACCCAAGGAGUUUGAUUCCCGCUCUGCCUGGCCACACUGCCCCACCAUCGGCGAGAUCAGGGACCAGGGAUCGUGUGGCUCCUGCUGGGCCUUUGGUGCGGUGGAGGUGAUGAGCGACCGAGUGUGCAUUCACAGUGACGGACAACAACACUUCCACUUCUCCUCGGAAAACUUGGUGUCGUGCUGCCACAUCUGCGGGUUUGGGUGCAAUGGUGGGUUCCCUGGCUCGGCAUUCAAAUACUGGGUUACAAGCGGCUUAGUGUCUGGCGGGGCUUACAACUCCAGCCAGGGGUGCCAACCGUACGAGAUCGCCCCUUGUGAGCACCACGUUAAGGGCCCCCGUCCCAAAUGCUCCGAAGGGGGUAAGACGCCCAAGUGUGUGAAGGAGUGCGAGGCGUCCUACACGGAGUCCUACACGUCGGACCUUCACCACGGGGCCAGGGCGUACAGCAUCCCUAAGGACCAGUACCAGAUAAUGCAGGAAAUUAUGACUAACGGACCAGUUGAAGGCGCGUUUACCGUUUAUGUCGACUUCCUUCACUACAAGUCGGGCGUGUACCGUCACCGCCACGGCCUGCCAUUGGGGGGACAUGCUAUAAGGAUCCUAGGGUGGGGGGAGGAGGCCGGGACCCCAUACUGGCUGUGCGCUAACUCCUGGAACUCUGACUGGGGUGAUAACGGCUUGUUUAAGAUUCUGCGCGGCUCCGAUCACUGCGGCAUUGAGGGAGAGAUUGCUACCGGCAUUCCUGCUUAGUUUAGGGUAGGGAUGGCUAUAUUAGGAUAGGUUAGGGGUGUUUUGGGAGUAUUUAGGGUAGGGAUGGCUAUAUUAGGGUAGGUUAGGGGUUGUUUGGGGAUGUUUAAGGGUGUUUUGGGGUGUUUUAGCAUGUUUUAGGUUAGGUUAGGAGUGUUUGGGGGUUUCUUAAGUUAGUUUAAGGUUAGGAGGGUUUAAAUGAGGCUUUGAUCAAGUUAGGAAAGGUUAGGUUAGGUUAUAGUUGGUUAGGGUCAGUUUAGGGUGUUUCAUUUAGGUUAGGAAUGUUUAAAGUGAUUUUUCCAUUAAUUUUGGGGUCCAGGGGUUGUCCAGGGUCAGUUAGGAUCAUUUAGAGCUGUUUUUGUGAAGUUAGGAACAUUUUGACAUUUUUCAUUGAAGUUAGGGACAGUCUGGUCAAGUUAGGAAAAGUUAGGGGUGCUUAUGAUUUUGGGAUGUUUUUUGUGAAGUUAGGAACAUUUAAACUGAUUUUUUGUUUAAGUUAGGAACAGUCUGGUCAAGUUAAGAACAGUUAAACUGAUUUUUUGUUCAAGUUAGGGACGUUUUGGUCAAGUUAGGAACAGUUAGGGCUACUUAAACUCAUUUCUCCAAGUUAGGAAUGCUCAAGCGUCUGGAAAUACUUAAGUUAGUGUCGUUUUUUAAGUUACAGUAAGUUAGGAGUGUUUUUUUUUAAGUUAGGUUGGUGGUAGAGUCAGUAGUUAGGGGUGUUGUGAAUGGUAGUGAGGUUAGGAUGGAGGUUGUUGGUGAGGUUAGGUUAGGAAGGAUUAAGUUAGGCAUUUGUUAGGAACUGGAGUUAGGGAAGUCCUCUAUAACUUUGUGCCUUGGGUUAGGAACGUGUCUUUCCAAGUCAGGUUAGGAGGAAGAAGGAGAAAUGAAGGAGAAGAAGAAGAAAAUGAGAAAGAAGAAGAUGGAGAGAGAGAGAGAGAGAGAGAAGGAAGAAGAUGGGACACUUAUGCUAAAAAUGGAGGAGGAGGAAAAGGAAGAAGAAGAAGAAGAGGAGGAGGAGGAGAUUAAAAAGUGAAUUUAUCUAAGUAUGUAUCAAAAUUAGAGAGAGAGAGAGAGAGAGAGAGAGAGAGAGAGAGAGAGAGAGAGAGAGCUGUAUUAGAAGAAGCGUGUCUAUUUUGUGUGUGUAUUUUUGCAAGGUUGGAGUGUGUCUUUGUAAUAUUGGAACCAGUAACUUAACCUCAAAUUUCCCAUGGGGUGUAAAGAGCAUCAUUGCAAGUGUGUGACAAGAAGUGUAUAGUUUUCAAAGGUGUAUUUGGAACAUUUCAAGUGUACUAACAACAUUUCACAAUAUCGUAAAUUUUCAAAAAUACUCAGUAAAUCAUUUUAGAUCAAUGUCAAGUUUUUUAUUUUUUUUUAUUUAUUUAUUUAUUUAUUUUUUUUUUUUUUACUCUAAUUCAACUUUGCAAUUCCAACAUUUGAUUGACUGAUUGAUUUUUGACAACUUUCUCUCACUUGGCAUUAUUAUUAUUAUUAUUAUUAUUAUUAUUAUUAUUAUUAUUGUUAUUAUUAUUAUUAUUGUCAUUUUCUAUUAAUAUAUUUCUUUCCUUACCUUCAACACAAUUAAUAUUUUUACCCUCAAUAUUUUCCUAAUUAGAAUAUUCACCUGAUAUUCUUUUAAAAAUGUCUAUGUAUCUAUUUGUCAUUAUUAUUAUUAUUAUUAUUAUUAUUGUAUAUUUUAUGAAGUUUUUUCUUGUAUUUCUUUUAAAAACCUCAAUGUAUUUAUUUGUUUAUUUGUUGUUAUUAUUAUUAUUAUUAUUAUCUUUUAUUUCAUGUUUGGUGUAUUUGAUUGAGUUUUUUCAUAUAUUUCACCUGAUAUUCUUUUAAAAGGUCUAUGUAUCACAGUAUCCAAUCUACUCUUGCCUAAUGUAGCGCUGUGCAUGGCUGUGUAGCGCUGUGCAUGGCUGUGUAGCGCUGUGCAUGGCUGUGUAGCGCUGUGCAUGGCUGUGUACCACUGUGCAUGGCUGUGUAGCGCUGUGCAUGGCUGUGUAGCGCUGUACAUGGCUGUGUAGCGCUGUGCAUGGCUGUGUAUCGCUGUGCAUGGCUGUGUAGCGCUAUGCAUGGCUGUGUAGCGCUGUGUCAUAUUUCCCUAAGCUUAAUUUUGUUUGUCUGUAUAUUCUGACCAGGUUGUAUUAAAGACAGUAUGAAUGAA